GCAUGUGUGUCUGCUGAAGGUGUGACUGUUGAGGAGCCUGCAUCAGAGAGGCUAAAGCCUGAGACCCAAGAGACCAGGCCCAGGGAGAAGCCCCCCUUACCUGCUACCAAGGCUGUUCCGACACCAAGGCAGAGCACUGUCCCCAAGCUGCCUGCUGUCCACCCAGCCCGUCUAAGGAAGCUGUCUUUCCUGCCUACCCCACGUACUCAGGGUUCUGAAGAUGUGGUACAGGCUUUCAUCAGUGAGAUUGGAAUUGAGGCAUCGGACCUGUCCAGUCUGCUGGAGCAGUUUGAGAAAUCAGAAGCCAAAAAGGAGUGUCCUCCUCCGGCUCCUGCUGACAGCUUGGCUGUAGGAAACUCAGGGUCCAGCUGUAGUUCCUCUGGACGUUCUCGAAGAUGCUCUUCCUCCUCUUCGUCAUCAUCUUCCUCUUCGUCUUCCUCAUCCUCAUCCAGUUCUCGAAGCCGCUCCCGCUCCCCAUCCCCCCGCCGGAGAAGUGACAGGAGGCGGCGGUACAGCUCUUAUCGUUCACAUGACCAUUACCAAAGGCAAAGAGUGCUGCAAAAGGAGCGUGCAAUAGAAGAAAGAAGGGUGGUCUUCAUUGGAAAGAUACCUGGCCGUAUGACUCGAUCAGAGCUGAAACAGAGGUUCUCCGUUUUUGGAGAGAUUGAGGAGUGCACCAUCCACUUCCGUGUCCAAGGGGACAACUACGGCUUCGUCACUUAUCGCUAUGCUGAGGAGGCA
rnacentral:sRNA from 1 species